UCGUCCCUGUGACUGGCGAGUUGGCGACUGUCCUCGCAUUCAACGGACAACGGCCCAUCAAGUCCAUUGCCUCAACCCUAGUCCCCAACUCCGCCCCCACCGCCGCAGGCGCGCCGCCGCCUCGCCGACCCGUCGCCGUCGUCGUCGCCGCCUCGCCACGCCUCAUCAUACCCCUGUAACAUCGCGUCCGCCACCUCGCUCGCGGCCAUGGUGGACGCGGCGGCGGCGGCGGCGGAGUGCGGCGAGCUGGACGGGACGGACGCCAUGGCCUACGGCGACGACCGGACGCCGCGGGACGGGAUGGUGUUCAAGUCGUACGAGGAGGUGCUCAACUUCUACAAGCGCUACGCCCUCCGCACCGGGUUCGGGGUCUGCGUCAAGAAGUCGUCCUUCACCAAGGCCGGCCUCUGCCGCCGCCUGGUGCUCGUCUGCAACAAGUGGGGGGACGGGAAGGAGGACGCGUGCUACCAGGCGAGGCCGACGGCCAAGACCAACUGCCAGGCCACCGUCGUCGCGAGGCUCUGGAGCGAUGGCCUGCUGCACCUCAUGGAUGUCAAUCUGGAGCACAACCACGCGCUGAAUCCCUCCGCGGCGCGGUUCCUGAGGUGCUACAAGACGUUGCCUAGUGGGAUGAGUAAAGAUCUGGUGGUGAGGGCUGCCAGAGGGGAAUGCUCGACCUCCGGCGACAUCGAGGUCCCGAUAUUCGAUGAUUGGGGGAGGCUCAAGAUUGGGGAAGAUGAUGUAGCGGCCAUCAAUGGCUUUUUCGCGGAUAUGCAGGCGAAGCAGGCGAACUUCUUCUAUCUCAUGGAUUUCUACGGGGAAGGCCAUCUGAGGAGUGUUUUUUGGGCCGAUUCGAGGUCCAGGGCAGCGUACCAAUAUUUCAACGACGCUGUUUGGAUUGAUACAACCUGCUUAAGAAAUAGGUUUGAUACACCCCUUGUUUUGUUCCUAGGGGUGAACCAUCAUGGUGAGCUUGUUCUGUUAGGCUGUGGCUUGUUUUCGGAUGAGAGUACGGAAAGCUUCUUAUGGCUGCUGAAGUCGUGGUUGACUUGUAUGAAAGGAUGGCCUCCGAAUGCCAUAGUUACGGAUGAUUGUGCCGCGAUAAAAGCCGCAGUUCGUGAAGUAUUUCCAAAUGCACGCCAUCGAAUAAGUGAUUGGCAUGUGUUAAGAAGUAUCUCUGAAAAGUUAGGAGAAUCAGCACAAUUUGAAGGAAUGAAGACCGAAUUGGAAACUGUAAUAUAUGAUUCCUUGAAGGAUGACGAGUUUGAGGCAAGGUGGAAUAACUUGAUCAGUAGAUUUGGCCUUCAGGAUAAUGAAUGGAUCACUUUUCUGUAUGAAAAUCGCCAUUUCUGGGUCCCCGCCUUUCUGAAAGAUACCUUCUGGGCUGGGUUAUCUACUGUUAACCACCAUGAGAGUCCAAAUGCCUUCUUUGAAGAUUCAAUCAACCCAGAGACCAAAUUGGUGACAUUCCUUAGCAGCUAUGUGAAUCUUUUACAGAACAAAUACAAAAUGGAGGAAGAUGAUGAUCUUGAGUCAUUGAGUAGAAGCAGGGUGCUAGUAUCGAAGUUUCCUAUGGAAGAACAGCUAUCUAGACUAUACACCUUUAAAAUGUUCACUAAACUCCAGAAUGAGCUGAACGCAACCAUGAAUUGUGAAGUUCAGUUGGAUGAUUCAACAUCCUCCAUUGUAGUUAUUGAUCUAGCUGAGUCAAGCGGAGAAAUGGUGAAUAAAAAAUAUGAAGUCGUUCACUGUAUGGAGACCGACAGGAUGGAAUGCAACUGUGGCCUGUUCCAGUUCAGUGGCAUUGUUUGUCGGCAUACAUUAUCGGUGCUUAAAUGUCAGCAUGUUUUUGAUAUACCCCCCUGUUAUGUGCUUAACAGGUGGCGGAAUGACUUUAAGCAGCUUCACGCCUUAGAUAAUCCAUGGAAGGAUUUGGUAACAAGUAAUCAUAUUGAGCGCUAUGAUUAUGUUUCUUUGCAGUGCCUCCGUCUUGUUGAGAUUGGAGCAUCAUCAGAUGAGAAGCAUCAGCAUGCAUUAAAAUUAAUAAGAGACAUACGACGGACCCUUCUUGAUGAUAAUUUGUGCCGGGAAUUGGAGCAGAAACUUACACCAUCUGAACGUGCUAUUAAUGGUGACAGCCACAUGCAAGCUGGCUCAUCUGAGGGAGGGCCAGCAAAAAAGCGCCGUGGCCGUCCUCCCAAAAAGAGUAAAGAUACAAAUGUGGAGUCCGUGUCAAAUCAAUAUGCCCAUAAGGAUUCUUUACUGGUAUCAUCGGACGUUAGUCAGAAGGAUGCUUUUCAUUCUUCUUCUACUGCCUCAAAUCUUGGUACUCAUGUCAGGACAAAUGGUGUUGUUGACCUUAUGGAAGAAGUUAAUCCAAAUGAGCUAUCUUUUGAUAGCCGUUAUGGGGUGCAGUCUAGCCACCCACACCAUUAUGGCAAUCAGCUGCAUCCAAGCAACACUAUGCAGUUUGGCCAAACUACAUCAACAGCAGAGCACUCUAGAGUCCAGUGGAUGUACCAGAAUAUAUUUCAGGACGAUCAAGUGCCUUAUGGCAGACGGACAUGACAGCAAUCAAAUACUGGGUUCAGAUGGUGCCAUUUCAGAGCAUGGAAACAAACAGAUACACUCAAAAUUGUACGAUAUGUAGGUUUUCAUCAGACAUACAGAAGGAAAGAACUCUUUCUCAAGAAAACAAACUCAAGGGAGGCAUUCCCCUCUGGAUGUAGAGCAGAUCUAACAUCAGAAUAAUCGGAACACAGUAAUGUGGCACAAACUGGUCAUUUUGUCUCGUCUAUAGAAAACUAGGAAUGUAGUCAUGUUACAUCUCAGAUCUUGAAGCAGCUAAAAUUCGGUCGCUUUCUCGUAAGCAGUGACCUAGCUUGAAAUUUAGUCUAAUCAAGAGUACUCCUCCAUUGACAUGUGAAUUCUUUCGUUUGUUCUUGUGUAAAUACCCGAGCGGUGAACAUUGAAGGUAAAGAAAAGACCAAGCCUGGGGAUCAUUCUGCAUA